CAUCUACUCCCUCCGUCCGAAAAUACUUGUCAUUGAAAUUGAUAUAUCUAGAUGUAUUUUAGUUCUAGAUACAUCCAUUUUCAUCGAUUUUGAUGACAAGUAUUUCCGGACGGAGGGUAUGCGAG
rfam:Triticum aestivum genome assembly, contig: Triticum_aestivum_CS42_TGACv1_scaffold_289626_4AL